GCACCCUGACCCUUGCUCCAGCGCCCCUCCCCCGUCUCGGGGCUCCCACUCACCUGGCGCCGGUGCCGGCGCACCCGCGCCCCGCGCGCGCACCCUCCAGGCGGCCCGGGUGUCAGGGCGCGCAGCCGCAUGGCCGCCCUGGCCCCCGCGGAGAGCCGGGCCGGGCGAGGAAGGCAGAGGCAGGCGCGGACACCUCUCCGGCGGCGGUGCCAGGCAGGUAUGCCUCCUGAGCCCCUGCGCCUCGGCGUCAGGAAAAGUUCGACCCCGUGAGCCCCGGAAAGAAGCGGCCGCCAACUCCAAGUCCACUCUGCCGUCAGAAGUCAGAUGCCGGGAACAAAAGCCAGAAGAGAUCCCUAAGAACGCACAUCUGUAUCAGAUUCAUUUGAGUCCCCAACAUCUAACACAAGAUGGAGCCCAGAGCCGCGUCUGCAAGCUGAGCUAGAAGCACAUGAUUCUGCUGUCUGGGGGCGCACGAUGCAAACACUUCUUCCAGACGUCAGCUGGAUCGAUCACCAGUCUCACCCAUGGAACCAGCAGAAGGAACCUGAAUGCCAGCAAAGAACAGGGAAAACAGCAAGUCUGCGACAGAGCCGGCUGGCCAUGCCAGCCUGAGCGACCGUGGCCUUCGAUGGGACACACCCACCAUGAGAGCACGGCUCUACCGUCGGUGCUCCUGCAGAGGCACAGCCUGACCCUGAUCUUGACCAGGUAUCACCAGAUCCGAGCGAGGGACACAGGGGCCAAAAUCUGGGGUCCCUGGGAGCUGAGCGUGGAGGGUCCAUCUGCUGGCUAGAUACACCCUCAUUCCCAGCCCCAGAGUCUGCAGUGGGGGUCACCAAACACUCCGGGCAAAUGACUCCCGUCUUCACCCCUCCAUCCGCAUCACACAGAAGAUCCGCCACGGGCCGGUCACACCCAUCCAUGGCUCUGUGACGCCAAGUGCCAAGGUGUUUCCAAGAACCACCUAAAGCACUUUCAAAAGCACUUUGCUUCUGGCAACAAAAGAGACUCUUGCUUGAGCUUUUUUUAA